rnacentral:rRNA from 1 species
UACGGGGGGGGCAAGCGUUGUUCGGAAUUACUGGGCGUAAAGGGCUCGUAGGUGGCCAACUAAGUCAGACGUGAAAUCCCUCGGCUUAACCGGGGAACUGCGUCUGAUACUGGAUGGCUUGAGGUUGGGAGAGGGAUGCGGAAUUCCAGGUGUAGCGGUGAAAUGCGUAGAUAUCUGGAGGAACACCGGUGGCGAAGGCGG